CCUACGGGAGGCAGCAGUGAGGAAUAUUGGUCAAUGGGCUUACGCCUGAACCAGCCAAGUCGCGUGAGGGAAGACUGCCCUAUGGGUUGUAAACCUCUUUUGUCAGGGAGCAAUUGGCGCUACGUGUAGCGUUAUCGAGAGUACCUGAAGAAAAAGCAUCGGCUAACUCCGUGCCAGCAGCCGCGGUAAUACGGGGGAUGCGAGCGUUAUCCGGAUUUAUUGGGGUUAAAGGGUGCGUAGGCGGAAUGCCAAGUCAGCGGGAAAAUAGCGGGGCUCAACCUCGCUCCGCAGUUGAAACUGGCGUUCUUGAGUGGGCGAGAGGUAUGCGGAAUGCGUGGUGUAGCGGUGAAAUGCAUAGAUAUCACGCAGAACUCCGAUUGCGAAGGCAGCAUACCGGCGCCCAACUGACGCUGAAGCACGAAAGCGUGGGUAUCGAACAGGAUUAGAUACCCUUGUAGUC
rnacentral:rRNA from 1 species